GACGGAGGGGGCAAGCGUUAUCCGGAAUUACUGGGCGUAAAGCGCUCGUAGGCGGUCUAAUACGGCGGUGGGGAAAGCUCCCGGCUCAACUGGGAGAGGCCCGUCGCAACGGUUAGGCUUGAGGGUGGUAGAGGCAAAUGGAAUUCCUGGUGUAGCGGUGAAAUGCGUAGAGAUCAGGAGGAACACCCGUGGCGAAGGCGGUUUGCUGGGCCACACCUGACGCUGAGGAGCGAAAGCUAGGGGAGUGAACGGG
rnacentral:rRNA from 1 species